rnacentral:rRNA from 1 species
UACAGAGGUCCCGAGCGUUGUUCGGAUUUACUGGGCGUAAAGGGCGCGUAGGCGGCAAAUCAAGUCAGCUGUGAAAUCUCCGAGCUUAACUCGGAACGGUCAGCUGAUACUGUUUUGCUAGAGUACAGAGGGGGCAAUCGGAAUUCUUGGUGUAGCGGUGAAAUGCGUAGAUAUCAAGAGGAACACCUGAGGUGAAGACGGGUUGCUGGGCUGAUACUGACGCUGAGGCGCGAAAGCUAGGGUAGCAAACGGG